rnacentral:rRNA from 1 species
CCUACGGGAGGCUGCAGUAGGGAAUUUUCGGCAAUGGGGGGAACCCUGACCGAGCAACGCCGCGUGAACGAUGAAGUUAUUAGUAAUGUAAAGCUCUUUUAACAGGGAAGAAAGAGAAAUUUGACGGUACCUGAAGAAUAAGCUCCGGCAAACUACGUGCCAGCAGCCGCGGUAAUACGUAGGGAGCGAGCGUUAUCCGGAAUUGUUGGGCGUAAAGGUGGCGUAGAUGGCAUAGUAAGUCUGUUGUAAAAAUGCUGGGCUCAACCCAGUAGGGCAAGAGAUACUGCAAAGUUAGAGUAUGACAGAGGCAAGGGGAAUGAGAGGUGUAGCGGUAAAAUGCGUAAAUAUAUGUAAGAACCCCAGUGGCGAAGGCGGCUUGCUGGGUCGAUACUGACAUUGAGGCACGAAAGCGUGGGGAGCAAACAGGAUUAGAUACCCUAGUAGUC